ensembl:piRNA 21ur-3780 ncRNA
AUGGUUACAACAGAGUCACAA